CGUAGUUCAGUUGGUUAGAGCACUAGAUUGUGGAUCUAGUUGUCAUGGGUUCGAGUCCCAUCG
rnacentral:tRNA from 1 species